AUACGGAGGAUCCGAGCGUUAUCCGGAUUUAUUGGGUUUAAAGGGUGCGCAGGCGGCCAUUUAAGUCAGCGGUUAAAUCGUGGGGCUCAACCCCAUUCUGCCGUUGAUACUGGGUGGCUUGAUUGCGGUCGAGGUUGGCGGAAUUCGUUGUGUAGCGGUGAAAUGCAUAGAUAUGACGAAGAACACCGAUUGCGUAGGCAGCUGACCAGACCGCAAAUGACGCUCAUGCACGAAAGUGCGGGGAUCGAACAGGAUUAGAUACCCUGGUAGUCCGCACAGUAAACGAUGAAUACUUGUUUUCGGCGAUAUAAUGUCGGAGGCAAAGCGAAAGCGAUAAGUAUUCCACCUGGGGAGUACGCCGGCAACGGUGAAGCUCAAAGGAAUUGACGGGG
rnacentral:rRNA from 1 species